CCUACGGGAGGCAGCAGUGAGGAAUAUUGGGCAAUGGACGCAAGUCUGAACCAGCCAUGCCGCGUGCAGGAAGACGGCUCUAUGAGUGGUAAACUGCUUUUGUACGAGGGUAAACGCAGAUACGCGUAUCUGUCUGAAAGUAUCGUACGAAUGAGGAUCGGCUAACUCCGUUCCAGCAGCCGCGGGAAUACGGAGGAUUCAAGCGUUAUCCGGAGUUAUUGGGUUUAAAGGGUGCGUAGGCGGUCGGAUAAGUUAGAGGUGAAAUCCCGAGGCUCAACUUCGGAAUUGCCUCUGAUACUGUUCGACUAGAGAGUAGUUGCGGUAGGCGGAAUGUAUGGUGUAGCGGUGAAAUGCUUAGAGAUCAUAAAGAACACCGAUUGCGAAGGCAGCUUACCAAGCUACUUCUGACGUUGAGGCACGAAAGCGUGGGGAGCAAACAGGAUUAGAUACCCCAGUAGUC
rnacentral:rRNA from 1 species